GGGAUUACAGGCGUGAGCAUGACUUGUGGACUCCCCCCAUUUAGCCCUCACUGUAACCCCCAUGUUAUGGAUUGAAUGUUAGAGUCCCCUGAAGAUUCAUAUGAUGAAAACUAAUACCCAACGUGAGAAUAUUAAGAGGUAGCGUGUCUGUUGAGCAGUCUAGGGAUGGAUGGAUGGAUGGACAGAUGGAGAUAUAACGAUAGAUAGAUAGAUAGAUAGAUAGAUAGAUAGAUAGAUAGACAAUAGAUAGUAAAUAGGUAGGACUUUUGGGACAUGAUCACAUCAUGAGGGCUUCAUCCUUGUGAAUGGGAUUCAUGCCCUUAUUUUAUUUAUUUUUUAUUUAUUUUUUUUUUGAGAUGGAGUUUUGCUCUUGUGUUCACUAGGCAAAUGCAGGAAGAAAGAACAACAUUUUAUUAAUAUGUGGAGCCAAUGGCCUGUGCAAAAGUCCUGUAGUGGGGUGGAGGAAGGAAGGGCUGAAGGAACUGGGUGAUGAGCUGGACCUGGAAUGCAGACUAACUGGGGAGGGUGGAGGGUACGAGGUAGACAGGGACCACCCCAUCAGGAAACUUCUAGUUGUUUUUUUUUUUUUUUUUUGAGACAGGAUCUCACUCUAUCGCCCAGGUUGGAGUGCAGUGGUGCAAUCUUGGCUCACUGCAACCUCCACCUCCCGGGUUCAAGCGAUUCUCCUGACUCAAGCCUCCUGAGCAGCUGGGAUUACAGACAUGUGCCACCACACCCAGCUAACUUUUAUGGAUUGGGGACCCAGUUAGCAAUCACCUGUGAGAGAGACCAGGACUGGAGCGGCUUGGACCAGGAUACUCCUAUCAUCGACCUCCUCCCACAGCAAGGAAGAAGCAGAGUUGAGUAACGGACAUUUACGUUGCUCUGAUUCUCUGCCAUCCCAAGCAGCACCAUGAGGAACAGCGCUAUGCAGGACCUUCUGCGGAUGCACCUGUGCCAGUCUGUCUGGCUGGGGCCUGCACACUCCGAGAAAGGACUGUGCACUCUGAGGAAGGACUGCGCAGUCUGAGGAAGGGCUGAGCACUCUUGUGGAAGUACCGCCCACUCUGAGGAAGGACCGUGCACUCUGAGGAAGGACUGCGCAGUCUGAGGAAAGGCUGCGCACUCUCGUGGAAGUACCGCCCACUCUGAGGAAGGACUGCUAGGUUGUCUCUCUGGAAAGUUUUCUGUUGCCCAUGCGGAGAAUAUUCAAGUUUUGUUUCGGCCUUCCAGAAUUUCCCUCCUGUUUGGGGGGGAUCAUCCUCCACUCCGUUAUACAGCCUCGGAGGCAGACACCACUCGUCAUCGGAUGUCAAACCAAAGCUCCCCCAGGCUUAGCAGGUGUGGGUGCAGGAGGGUGCGGGAGUCAGAUCUCCAUCUAUCUGGUCUCGCCUUGUUUCUAGUCCUUUGCAGGGGUGUUCUUCCAGCAUCCUCCAAUCCAUCCGGGACUGUCCAUCUUGAGUGACACAAAAGAGUGGGGCAGGACAGCCUGGCCGACUGUCCCUCCGAGACCAGACACGGGGUGUGUGUGUGUGUGUGUGUGUGUGUGUGUGUGUGUUGGAGGGGUCCCCAAAGGGGCACAGAAGUCCCGGGAGGCUUUUCAGAAGAGAAGAGAUGGAGCCUGAAUGGGCAAAAGCAGCAGCUGUGCUGUUAGGAGCUGGAGUGAAUACUGUGAGCCCAGACACCUGGGAUGAGAUCCACAGAUGUGGCCCGGUCCCUUACUCUUUUGGUGCCUCAGUUUCCCCAUCUGUACCAUGGGGAUAACAACAGUGCAUGCCUCAUCGGUUGGUUAUGAUGAUAAACAAACUGGAUUUUAAAAAGGUCUGGCCCAGCAGACUCACUCUGUGUUUGCUGUUAUCAGAACCCUGUCCUCAGACCCUGGCCUGACACCACCUCAUACUCCCUCUCAUGCCUCUUAGUCACUUCCUGAAAGUCUGCAGCAGACGACACGGCUUCUCCCAGCCCGUCUUCUUCCCCACACGGUGGGCAUGGUAACGUCCUUAACAUGCACCUGUCAGUGUGAAAGCAGCAGGCUGAGAUCACACACCAAGUUCCCGUAAGUAUUCUGCAUUCAUUACCUUAUUUUUCUUUUGAGACGAAGUCUCGCUCUGUUGCCCAGGCUGGAGUAGGGCAGUGGUGCGAUCUCAGCUCACUGCAACCUCUGCCUCCUGGGUUCAAGUGAUCCUCCCACCUCAGCCUCCGGAGUAGCUGGGAUUACAGGUGUCCACCAUCAUGCCUGGCUAAUUUUUGUGUUUUCAGUAGAGUCGGGGUUUCAGCAUGUUAGCCGAGCUGGUCUUGAACUCCUGAGCUCAAGUGAUCCACCCACCCGAGCCUCCUAAAGUGUUGCGAUUACAGGUAUGAGCCACUGCACCCAGCCUUAUUUAAUUUUCAAAAACAGUCCCUUUUCAGGAGGGGCAUUACUACCAGUCCUGUCUUAGGAGGUGGGUGCUGAGGCCUGUGGUCACUUGCCCUUCCUGGAUAGCCUGGCACCUAAACCCUUCCCUGCACUGUUGAGUCUUGAAGGCAGACCUAGACUCCAGUGAUGUGCACUGGACCGUCCAGGUGGCUGUUUCCAGAUGCCCUCGCAGCCCGGCACAGGCUGUACCUGCCCCAGCCCUUGACACUGAGCCAGAAGCUGAAGCAGAGAGCAAGGCAGUGACCGUGGGGGGGCUUGGACGCAAGGUGGUACCGUGGCGGGCUCAGCCACAAGGCGGCAACCAUGGAGGGUUUGACAUAGAACCCCUCCCAGGCUCAGGCGCUGGGCACACAGGAACCAAAAGGACCAGGGUGAAGCCAGCCCCAAGACUGGGCGGCAGGGGAGUGGUCAGACCAGCGCUCUCAUCCUACGCUUUCCAAAGCCCGGCAACUGCCCUUCAUCCACCCGGCAGAGGCUACAGAUUUCCUCUCUGGAGAGAAGGAACCGGGGUUGCUCGCUGAGCUGACAAGAGGUGGCAUCCUGGAAAGAUGCAGCUGGCCAAAGCCUGCCCUCCAUACGGAGUCCCCCCCUCGGCCAAUGGCUCCAGCUAAAGGUGAGAGAAUUCCUUGCGUGGCAGAAUGGGCCACCCAAGACCUACCAACACUGACACUCAGGACCCCAGUCAAACAGAGUGGCCUUAGCAAGGGAGGUGGGUGCCAUUAUCAUCACUUGCGGAUGUGGAACUCAUGCCCAGAGGGUAUGACCAACCUGUAGGUUCCCAGCCAGGAAGCUGAAGGGCUCAGAUGCGAACCUGACUCAGUGUGGCACUCGGCAGGUCCCUUCCAGGAGCCUCAUCCCUGCCUCCGUAGGAUGGAGGUGGGGACAGCCCUCCUGAGGACACAUUUCCUGCACUGCCUCCCACAGCUGUGCCCAGACUCCCAGAGCCUCUCUCAUGCCAAGAGAGUCUGUGGUGGGAGCCAAGACAGCUGACCCCAGAAGCCCCGGGCACCCCAGACGCUCGGCCCUGGGAGGGUGGCUGUGCCGGACAGACUCCAGACAGAGCUCAGACUCCGGGUCUACACACAGUGACUUUAUUACUCUAUGGAUGCUGGUGAACUGCCCUCCCCAACCAGCUUCACGGGGGCAGGCAUCUCUGUCCAUCCCAUGCC
rnacentral:lncRNA from 1 species